ACGCUCGACACCUACGGUAGGCAGCAGUGGGGAAUAUUGCACAAUGGGGGAAACCCUGAUGCAGCAACGCCGCGUGAGUGAAGAAGUAUUUCGGUAUGUAAAGCUCUAUCAGCAGGGAAGAUAAUGACGGUACCUGACUAAGAAGCUCCGGCUAAAUACGUGCCAUCAGCCGCGGUAAUCUGAGGCGGGCUGGCAAGGC
rnacentral:rRNA from 1 species